rnacentral:rRNA from 1 species
GACGAACGCUGGCGGCGUGCUUAACACAUGCAAGUCGAAUGGAGUGGCGAACGGGUGAGUAACACGUGGGUGACCUGCCCUGCACUUCGGGAUAAGCCUGGGAAACUGGGUCUAAUACCGGAUAGUGUGGGAUGGGCCCGCGGCCUAUCAGCUUGUUGGUGGGGUAUUGGCCUACCAAGGCGGCGACGGGUAGCCGGCCUGAGAGGGUGGACGGCCACAUAGGGACUGGGGAACGGGCCAGACGCCUACGGGAGGCAGCAGUGGAGAAUAUUGCGAAAUGGGCGGAGGCCGGAUGCAGCGACGCCGGGUGGGGGAUGACGGCCUUCGGGUUGUAAACUCCUUUCACCAUCGACGCGGUAGAUGGAGAAGAAGCACCGGCUAACUACGUGCCAGCAGCCGCGGUAAUUC